rnacentral:rRNA from 1 species
AUGGAUCUAGCUUUCUCGGUUGGUGCCUUUCUGCUCUGCUCACCAGCGCUCGACGCCAUUGACCUCCUUCAAUCUUCCUCCAGGUUGUGCAGAAUGAAACAUGCCAGGACAAACUACUUCUCCUCCAGGUUGUGCAGAAUGAAACAUGCCAGAACAAACUACUUCUCCUCCAGGUUGUGCAGAUUGAGACAUGCCAGAACAAACUACUUGUCCAGGUUGUUUGUUGCUACUUCGUCUUCCACAAUCACUAAUUUCGGAGUUAAUUGCCCGGAAGUAUCACAAUUGAGGCAGUACAUGCAAAAUGGUAUUAUUUUUUGUAAUUUGUACCAAGUCUGGGGCUAA